rnacentral:misc_RNA from 1 species
AAGUCGUAACAAGGUUUCCGUAGGUGAACCUGCGGAAGGAUCAUUAACACGUAUCCAAACGUUAAAACCCCCCCCGUGAACAUUCAAUCCUGCUCUUGUAACCCGCGGCGCUUGCAAUCUCUGGUAAAUCAAUGUGGGAGGAAAGCAGUUUGAUUCAGAGACCUCUGGCCCGUGAGAAAAUUGGAACAGUUACAAUUCGAGCGGUAGGUUUAUAGGCCUUGUUUCCCCAAGCAGUCAGUGUCUGAAAGCGUCAUUGAUUGUGCAAGGAUAGCGCUUCACGAUUCCUGUAGACCGUACACUCGGGCAGGAGCUAGGCCAAAGGGUCACCAUGCCCCCUUACAACCCCACAGUUUAUUGCAAAGCUCAAUGUAAUACAUUGGGUAAAAAAACUUGAACAACGUGUUAACAAUGGAUAUCUUGGUUCUC